AGCGAACGCUGGCGGCAUGCUUAACACAUGCAAGUCGAACGAACAGCCCUGUCAGUGGCGGGCGGGUGAGUAACGCGUAGGAAAGUGUGCUGAGGUGGGGGGCAUCCCUGGGAGACUGGGGUUCAUACCGCAUAUGGGCUGUGGCCCCAAAACGUGUGUCGCCUUUGGAGGGGCCUGCGUACGAUUAGGUAGUUGGUGGGGUAAAGGCCUACCAAGCCCUGGAUCCGGAGCUGGUCUGAGAGGAAGGACCGCCACACUGGGACUGAGACACGGCCCCGACGCCUAAGGGAAGCCAGAAGGGGGGAAAUUGGAACAAGGGGGGAAAGCCGAAGCCACCAUGGCCGGGUAGUUGUAGAAGGUCUUAGGAUCGUAAAGCCUUUUCAACGGGGACGAAGUUACCGUAACCGGUAAAAAAGCCCCCGCCAAAUUCGUG
rnacentral:rRNA from 1 species